rnacentral:lncRNA from 1 species
UGCGGGCGCGCCAGUUCGGGUCGCCGGGUCGUGUCAGUGCGGUAGUCGGCCGGUUUUCUUUGCUGCUCUGGGUCUGUCCUGGGAACCUCGUCGGGGGCGGAAUCUACGAAUUGAGUACGACCUAGGCUGGUUCCAGGCGGACGCGAGUGCUGCUGCUGUGACAGCGCAUUGCAGGAGUGACCAGGACACUGCCUUCUAGAAGUAAUGCCCACAGAAAGCGGAAGUUGUUCAACUGCUCGCCAAGCAAAACAAAAGCGCAAAUCUCAUAGCCUUUCUAUACGAAGAACUAACAGCUCAGAACAAGAGAGGACUGGACUACCAAGAGAAAUGUUAGAAGGACAAGAUUCUAAACUACCGUCCUCAGUACGCAGUACACUUUUGGAACUGUUUGGUCAGAUAGAAAGAGAAUUUGAAAAUCUUUACAUCGAAAACUUAGAAUUGCGCAGAGAAAUUGAUAGUCUUAAUGAACGUUUAGCUGGUGAAGGACAAGCGAUUGAUGGGGCAGAAUUGAGUAAGGGCCAGCUCAAAACAAAAGCCAGUCACAGUACUAGUCAGCUUUCUCAGAAGCUUAAGACCACCUACAAGGCUUCUACCAGCAAGGUAUGCAAGGCACUGGCUCUGGAGCCAGUCAUGUGCCUUAUUUAGAAAUUCUUGGUAAUUUUUAUUUAGGAGAGAACAUGAGUAUUGUUGACAUUUUGCUAUUGUGUGCUUUGAUAACAUCUGGAAUGUAAAUUGUUUCAUUGGAUUUUUGUUUGUUGUAAUGUCUAAUUCAUCUUACUUUUGAAAUUUGUAAUUCAGUUUUUCUUCAAAAUGAAGUGCAAAAUUAUGUUCUUCAUUUUUUGUUACAUUAUUUUGAAUUAAAUUAUUUGAAUUA